rnacentral:lncRNA from 1 species
UUCUAGCUAUGUUUAGAUGUUAUCUCGUAUGAUUGACUUAAUACCAUGUUAUUUUGUAUGAUUGACUCAUCCUAGUCACUACAAAAGAAACUUGUUUAAAAAGAAAUGGAUCCUUAGUCUAUCCUCACCUAUAAAUAUAGCCCCCUUUAAAGGAUCUAGAUAGGAUUUUUUAGACAUAGGAUCAUCUUUUUUAUUUAAAAAGCUCACCACCUCAAGCCCUUUAACCUACUCUCUCCCAUCUUUUUCAACCUUCAAACCACAAUCAGGAACUCCAAGAGAAUCUUCAAAAUUCUUUCAACCAA